rnacentral:rRNA from 1 species
GGAAUUACUGGGCGUAAAGAGUUGCGUAGGUGGCAUCGUAAGUUGAUAGUGAAAGAGUCCGGCUCAACCGGAUAGACAUUAUCAAAACUGCGAAGCUAGAGGACGAGAGAGGUUAUUGGAAUUCCUAGUGUAGGAGUGAAAUCCGUAGAUAUUAGGAGGAACACCGAUGGCGUAGGCAGAUAACUGGCUCGUUCCUGACACUAAGGCACGAAAGCGUGGGGAGCAAACGGGAUUAGAUACCCCGGUAGUCCACGCCGUAAACGAUGGAUGCUAGCUGUUUGAGGUAUCGACCCCUCAUGUAGCGAAGCUAACGCGUUAAGCAUCCCGCCUGUGGAGUACGGUCGCAGGACUAAAACAUAAAGGAAUUGACGGGGACCCGCACAAGCGGUGGAGCGUGUUGUUUAAUUCGACGGUAAGCGAAGAACCUUACCCGGGUUUGACAUCCUUGGAAUUUCUCCGAAAGGAGAAAGUGCUUUUAGAGCCAAGUGACAGGUGUUGCAUGGA